rnacentral:rRNA from 1 species
UACGUAGGGUGCGAGCGUUAAUCGGAAUUACUGGGCGUAAAGCGUGCGCAGGCGGUUUUGUAAGCCAGAUGUGAAAUCCCCGGGCUUAACCUGGGAAUGGCAUUUGGGACUGCAAGGCUGGAGUGCGGCAGAGGAGACUGGAAUUCCUGGUGUAGCGGUGAAAUGCGCAGAUAUCAGGAGGAACACCGGUGGCGAAGGCGGCACUCUGGGCCGGUACUGACGCUGAGGAGCGAAAGCGUGGGGAGCGAACAGG